GACGAACGCUGGCGGCGUGCUUAACACAUGCAAGUCGAACGGAAAGGCCCCUUUGGGGGUGCUCGCGUGGCGAACGAGUGGGUAACACGUGCGUAACCUGCCCUUGACUUCGGGAUAACUUCAUGCAACUGGGGCUAAUACAGGAUAGGAAUCCUUGCUGCCUGCUGGGGGUUGGAAAGCUUCGGCGGUUUUGGAUGGACUCGCGGCUUAUCAGCUUGUUGGUGGGGUAGUGGCUUACCAAGGCUUUGACGGGUAGCCGGCCUGAGAGGGCGACCGGCCACAUUGGGACUGAGAUACGGCCCAGACUCCUACGGGAGGCAGCAGUGGGGAAUAUUGCACAAUGGGCGGAAGCCUGAUGCAGCAACGCCGCGUGCGGGAUGACGGCCUUCGGGUUGUAAACCGCUUUCAGCAGGGGCGAAGCGUUUGUGACGGUACCUGCAGAAGAAGCACCGGCUAACUACGUG
rnacentral:rRNA from 1 species